AAAUCCCGCUGCCAAGAAAAGCUUCGUAGGGAGUUUCAGACAUAACCGUACCGCAAACCGACACAGGUACUCGAGUAGAAUAUACUAAGGCGCGCGAGCGAACUCUGGUUAAGGAACUAGGCAAACUGGUCCCGUAACUUCGGAAGAAGGGAUGCCCGUCGACUUAACUCCGUACAGGGGAAGGGUUGAUGGGCCGCAGUGAAAUGGCUCUCGUGACUGUUUAACAAAAACACAGGACUCUGCUGAAAUCACAAGAUGAUGUAUAGGGUCUGAUGCCUGCCCGGUGCUGGAAGGUCACGGGGAGAUGUUAGUGCUCGCAAGAGUGCAAAGCAUUGAACCUAAGCCCCAGUAAACGGCGGCCGUAACAAUAACGGUCCUAAGGUAGCGAAAUUCCUUGUCGGGUAAGUUCCGACCUGCACGAAUGGCAUAACAAAGAGAGCGCUGUCUCAACCAGAGGCUCGGUGAAAUUGGGGUGCAAGUGAAGACGCUUGCUGCCCGCGGCUAGACGAAAAGACCCCGUGAAGCUUUACUGUAUCUUGAUAAGGAACUACGGGAGUGGAUGCGUAGAAUAGGUGGGACCCUUCGAAACCCUGCUUUCGGGUGGGGUGGAGGGGCCAGUGAAAUACCACUCUUCCGGUCUUGUGGUUCUAACUACGUCCCUUAUAUCAGGGCGUAGGACAUUGUCAGGUGGGCAGUUUAACUGGGGCGGUUGCCUCCUAAAGAGUAACGGAGGCGCACAAAGGUUCCCUCAGCGCGUAUAGAAAUCGCGCCUCGAAUGCAAGUGUAGAAGGGAGCCUGACUGCGAGACGGACAUGUCGAGCAGGUGCGAAAGCAGGUACUAGUGAUCCGGUGGUUGAAUGUGGAAUUGCCAUCGCUCAACGAAUAAAAGCUACUCCGGGGAUAACAGGCUUAUCGGAUCCAAGAGUCCAUAUCGACGAUCCGGUUUGGCACCUCGAUGUCGGCUCAUCGCAUCCUCCCGCUGAAGUAGGUGGGAAGGGUUUGGCUGUUCGCCAAUUAAAGCGGUACGUGAGCUGGGUUCAGUACGUCGUGAGACAGUACGGUCUCUAUCUACCGUGGGCGUAGGAAUCUUGAAGGGAUCUGUUCCUAGUACGAGAGGACCGGAAUGGACGAACCUCUGGUGUACCGGUUGUACCGCCAGGUGCAUGGCCGGAUAGCUAAGUUCGGAGUGGAUAAACGCUGAAAGCAUCUAAGUGUGAAACCAGCCCUGAGAUAAGGAUUCCCAUGCCGCAAGGCAUCUAAAGAUCCGCAGAAGACUACUGCGUUGAUAGGCGGGACGUAGAAGCGCCGUUAAGGCGUGGAGCGCACCCGUACUAAUUGAUUGUGCGGCUUAGCCGU
rnacentral:rRNA from 1 species